GCACUAUAAACUCAUCCUGCCCCUGCUACUUAGUGCAGGAGGAAAGGGAAAUAUGUGCUAAAAGAAAUCCAGAGGAAAUCCAGACAAAGCAUACUUGACCUUGUGUUCUGUCUCUACACCUCUGCCACAUUU